GAUGAACGCUGGCGGCGUGCCUAAUACAUGCAAGUCGAGCGAACAGAUAAGGAGCUUGCUCCUUUGAAGUUAGCGGCGGACGGGUGAGUAACACGUGGGUAACCUACCUAUAAGAUUGGGAUAACUUCGGGAAACCGGAGCUAAUACCGGAUAACAUUUAGAACCGCAUGGUUCUGAAGUGAAAGAUGGUUUUGCUAUCACUUAUAGGUGGACCCGCGCCGUAUUAGCUAGUUGGUAAGGUAACGGCUUACCAAGGCGACGAUACGGAGCCGACCUGAGAGGGUGAUCGGCCACACUGGAACUGAGACACGGUCCAGACUCCUACGGGAGGCAGCAGUAGGGAAUCUUCCGCAAUGGGCGAAAGCCUGACGGAGCAACGCCGCGUGAGUGAUGAAGGGUUUCGGCUCGUAAAACUCUGUUAUUAGGGAAGAACAAAUGUGUAAGUAACUGUGCACAUCUUGACGGUACCUAAUCAGAAAGCCACGGCUAACUACGUGCCAGCCGCCGCAGUAA
rnacentral:rRNA from 1 species